rnacentral:rRNA from 1 species
UACGUAGGGGGCGAGCGUUGUCCGGAAUCAUUGGGCGUAAAGCGCGUGUAGGCGGCCCGAUCAGUCCGCUGUGAAAGUCCAGGGCUCAACCCUGGGAUGCCGGUGGAUACUGUCGGGCUCGAGUCCGGAAGAGGCGAGUGGAAUUCCUGGUGUAGCGGUGAAAUGCGCAGAUAUCAGGAGGAACACCAAUGGCGAAGGCAGCUCGCUGGGACGUGACUGACGCUGAGACGCGAAAGCGUGGGGAGCAAACAGG